UACAGAGGGGGCAAGCGUUAUUCGGAAUUAUUGGGCGUAAAGGGCGCGUAGGCGGUUACUCAAGUGGAUGGUGAAAUCCCCGGGCUCAACCUGGGAACUGCCGUCCAAACUGAGUGACUUGAGUCCGGGAGAGGUGAGUGGAAUUCCCAGUGUAGCGGUGAAAUGCGUAGAUAUUGGGAGGAACACCAGUGGCGAAGGCGGCUCACUGGACCGGAACUGACGCUGAGGCGCGAAAGCGUGGGGAGCAAACAGGAUUAGAAACCCUCGUAGUCC
rnacentral:rRNA from 1 species